rnacentral:misc_RNA from 1 species
GUAAUUAAUAUGGACUAAUAUACCAGAAACUGUUAUUGAUGUGCCUUCAGAGGAAUUUGAUAAUCAGCAACUUGAGGUCGAGUAUGAAAAGGAGUUUGAAGAUGAGUUUAAAAAGGAGUUUGAAGAUGAGUCUGAAAGUGAGUAUGAAGAUGAUUCUGUAGAUGAGUCAGAAGAUGAAUUCGAAGAUGAGUUUGAUGAUGACACACCAUGAUCUUUAUUAUUUUUGUGAUGACCAUAUAGUGCUAACUUACUCUUU